GCGGAGUGAAAACAUAAAAGUACGAAAUCAAACGAAAUGAAUUGCGAUGUUGAACCAAAUCGACGAAGAACAACUGAAAUCGAGAUUGAAACGAAGAAAAUGGAGGUUGCUUCGUCGAGCGUCCCGAUCGAUAUUGGUGAUGUACCCAAAGAUGAAAUCUAUUAUGAAUUCAAUGAUCUGAACAAGAUUUCGGUGAAGGUGUAAUCAAAAUAUUUUCACGCAUAAGCAGUCGAAUUUCUUGAUUCCAUUAGAUGAUACUUUGAUGUCUAUCAAUUCGAAGGGUGGAAGCAUUAGAAACCGAGGAAAAUGAAGUAGAGAUCGUGGAAAAAAAAUCUUGAACUCGGUUUUUAUUCAUAAAAGUUGAAUUCAUAUUGUGGUAUUUCUAUUUGUAAACAUUUAAAUUCAAUUUGUUGUUUUUUUCUA